UACGUAGGGUCCGAGCGUUGUCCGGAAUUACUGGGCGUAAAGAGCUCGUAGGUGGUUUGUCGCGUUGUCCGUGAAAACUCACAGCUUAACUGUGGGCGUGCGGGCGAUACGGGCAGACUAGAGUACUGCAGGGGAGACUGGAAUUCCUGGUGUAGCGGUGGAAUGCGCAGAUAUUCGGAGGAACACCGAUGGCGAAGGCAGGUCUCUGGGCCGCAACUGACGCUGAGGAGCGAAAGCGUGGGGAGCGAACAGG
rnacentral:rRNA from 1 species